rnacentral:rRNA from 1 species
GACGAACGCUGGCGGCGGGCUUAACACAUGCCAGUCGAACGGAAAGGCCCUGCUUUUGUGGCGUGCUCGGGUGGCGAACGGGUGAGUAACACGUGAGUAACCUGCCCUGGACUUUGGGAUAACUUCAGGAAACUGGGGCUAAUAUCGGAUAGGAGCGCCUACUGCAUGGUGGGGGUUGGAAAGUUUCGGCGGUUGGGGAUGGACUCGCGGCUUAUCGGCUUGUUGUUGGGGUACUGGCUUACCAAGGCUUUGGCGGGUAGCCGGCCUGUGAGGGUGACCGGCCACAGUGGGACUGAGAUACGGCCCAGACUCCUACGGGAGGCAGCAGUGGGGAAUAUUGCACAAUGGGCGGAAGCCUGAUGCAGCAACGCCGCGUGCGGGAUGACGGCCUUCGGGUUGUAAACCGCUUUCGCCUGUGACGAAGCGUGAGUGACGGUAAUGGGUAAAGAAGCACCGGCUAACUACGUG